AGAAUAUCCAAACAGAGAUAGAAUGUGCUUGGAUUCAGGAGCUUACAUGGCAAACCUGAAAUCUUGCUGUCUCUGCCAGUCAAAUCAAGUUAGUGUGCUGAACAAGAUUGUGUCAGAAGACAGUGGAAUUGAAGUAAUUAUAUGUCUGUGGCACAUGCCAACAUGUCAUAUCCAUUCACAACUACAAGUUCUGGAUUGAGGGUGAUUACCAGGAAUAUGAAAUGGACUGUGCAUUAUGUGGCAUUGCUGAGGACUCCAUAAGUAUCCUUCCUGAUGAUCCCCGUAAAGCAUCUUUUGACUUUUUCUAAAUUAUUACUAUCCAAACAUCACAUGUUAAGAAAGAAAAUUAAAUUUUGGUCAUAUAUAUUUAAGAAAGCAA